AGCUUUGCGCAGUGGCAGUAUCGUAGCCAAUGAGGUUCAUCCGAGGCGCGAUUAUUGCUAAUUGAAAGAUCAUAUGUAUAGAGACAAUAUAAUACCAUGGGAAGAUGCUUAUAAUAGAAUAUAAAAUGAGUUUAAAAACC
ensembl:snRNA U4 U4 spliceosomal RNA